rnacentral:rRNA from 1 species
AUUGAACGCUGGCGGCAGGCCUAACACAGGCAAGUCGAACGAUAACAGGAAACAGCUUGCUGUUUCGCUGACGAGUGGCGGACGGGUGAGUAAUGUCUGGGAAACUGCCUGAUGGAGGGGGAUAACUACUGGAAACGGUAGCUAAUACCGCAUAACGUCGCAAGACCAAAGAGGGGGACCUUCGGGCCUCUUGCCAUCGGAUGUGCCCAGAUGGGAUUAGCUAGUCGGUGGGGUAACGGUCCACCUAGGCGACGAUCCCUAGCUGGUCGGGGAAGAUGACCAGCCACACAGGAACAGAGACUAGGUCCAGACUCCUUAUGGAAGCAUAAGUUGGGAAUAUUGGACAAUUGGCGCAGGCCUGAUGCAGCCAUUCCGCGUGUAUGAAGAAGGCCUUCGGGUUGUAAAGUACUUUCAGCGGGGAGGAAGGGAGUAAAGUUAAUACCUUUGCUCAUUGACGUUACCCGCAGAAGAAGCACCGACUAACUCCGUGCCAGCCGCCGCAGUAA